CUGCGGCGCGCACACAUGAUGAGGAGAUGCGCGGCUGCUGCGGAUGACGUCACACGCACCUUCGUGCACUACGUCCUCUCCGCACUGAGCGAGUCCCUAUAUAAACCCCCGUACACAAGCCAGAAUUGCUGCAGUCUCUCGGGAGACUCAUGGAGGAGAGUGCCAUCGCACAUACUGAACCAGGCUUAUCAUUGCCUUAAUCCUUGGCUACCAGCCGGCAUCCAGCUCUGGUUUCUCAUUUCUACUACCAGGAAAUGUUACAUGUAUUGAGGAUUGUUAGAGGGUAGUGAUCGCUCUCUGCCUUCUCCCUUCUCCUCAAGCCCUGUCCUCCUUCAUUGAAGACUGUUAUUAUUUAGUUUAUGCGGGUCAUUUCCCUACACUUUUUACAACGUCCAGCAGCCCGGACACAGUCUAUUUCUUAUCUUAUUUUAUUGACAGAAAAUUUAUAUAUUGAUCCCCCUACCAACCAACACUAUCUUUAAAACUACAUUGCUGACUCCGUGAGGAAGCGCUGCUAAAGCGCGAAACCGGUCGAGUCCACCUACGCAGCAAGCCAAACCACCGCAGACAUUUCUCUGCCUGCAUUUCCACAACGUGACAGGACCACUAAUUACAUUCAUGCACCUUAUUCCAAAUACUUUUGGAAGUGUUCAAUUUUAUUGUUGAUAUUUUGUUAUAAUUUAUGUAUAUAUUCCUGUCAAUGUUCAUGGAUAGGCUUGCCUAGAUUAGCCUGUUAGAUGGUUUUUUGUGCUGGAAACGGCAAUACUCUUUCUUCUGUAUUUUUCUACACAUUAUGAUAUUUUAUAUCUAAAUAAACAAAUCUACUUUUUAGAAAAAAUUCUUUUCUUGUAUAUAUAUUCUGACCAACCAAAUCGUGCCUAAAAAGUCCAAAAACUAGCCCCUAGUUCCCUCCUUUAUCAUUUAUACUAGGACGC